AAGUAAAAUCUUGUUUAGUAGAAUUUUUGUAAACAAAAUAGAUUUAUUAAAAUUAUUUUUUAGUAUUAAUGCUUUAGUAGUUUGAAGUGAAAAAGUAGUGAGUGACUAUAGUAAAAAGUACUGUGAAGGAAUGAUGAAAUAGUAUGAAAUAAGUUAACUAAAAGAAAGUAGAAAUUAAUGUUUGUACCUUGUGUAUCAGGGAAGAUUAAAAUUAACUGCUUAUAGCAGAAGUCCCGAAAAAAGAAGAGCUAAUAUAAAAUAAAAGUUUUUGUUUCAAAAAGAUUUUUAAUUUUAUAUUAGUGAUGAAAUGUCAGUCGUUUCUUUAUAUCUGGUUGUUAAUGAAUUAAAUUAAAUUUAAUUGUUUUUUGAUAAAAUUUAAAUUAAAAAAUAAUAAAGAAUGGGAGGGAAAAGCUUCUUAUUCUAAAAUAAAUAUACUGCGAUGGAUAAAAGUGUUAAAUUUAUAUUAAAUUAAGCUUAAAAGCAGCUAAAUUUAUAAAGCGUUCUAGCUAAUAUGUUUUAUUUAUAUUAUUUAAGAUAUAAAUCCAGUUUUAAGUAUUUAACAUUUUUAAUUAAUAUUAGAUUAAAAGUUAUAAUGAUUUUAUUAGUAGAAAUAAAUGUGUAAAGAUAGUUUUAAAUAAGAUAAAAAAUAUUAAAAUUCGGUAGAUAAAAUAAAGGAACUCGGCAAAUAUUAUUUUUGCCUGUUUAUCAAAAACAUGUCUGUAUGAUUGUUAUAUAGAGUCUGGCCUGCCCACUGAUGUUAAUUAAAGGGCCGCGGUAUCCUGACCGUGCGAAGGUAGCAUAAUCAUCAGUCUUUUAAUUGGAGGCUUGUAUGAAUGGUUGGACAAAAAAUAAGCUGUCUCUGUUCUAUAAUUUGAAUUUAAAUUUUAAGUGAAAUGGCUUAAAUGUUCUAGGGGGACGAUAAGACCCUAUAAAGCUUUACGGGAUGUAAUUAAGUUAUAAACUGUUAGUAUUAACUUAAUUUAGUUAUUAACCGUUUCGUUGGGGCGACGAGAAUAUAAUUAAUAAUAACUGUUCUUUUUUUAUAUUUACAAUAAAUUCUUGGUAAUAAUUGAUCCUUUAUUAAAGAUUAAAAGAUUAAGUUACUUUAGGGAUAACAGCGUAAUUUUUUUUGAGAGUCCAUAUCGACAAAAAAGGUUGCGACCUCGAUGUUGAAUUAAGGUUUCCUUGUGGUGUAGCAGUUUCAUGGGAGGGUCUGUUCGACCUUUAAUUCCUUACAUGAUUUGAGUUCAGACCGGCGUGAGCCAGGUCGGCUUCUAUCUCCUAGUUAUAAAAGAUUACUUUAGUACGAAAGGAUUGAGUAGUCAAAAUAAUUUUUGAAAAUAGAAUAAUAUUAAUAAGUUGCUUUGGCAGAACUAUGCAUUGGACUUAGGAUCCAAU
rnacentral:rRNA from 1 species